UACGUAGGGCGCAAGCGUUGUCCGGAAUUAUUGGGCGUAAAGAGCUCGUAGGCGGCUUGCCACGUCGAUUGUGAAAGCCCGAGGCUUAACCUCGGGUCUGCAGUCGAUACGGGCUAGCUAGAGUGUGGUAGGGGAGAUCGGAAUUCCUGGUGUAGCGGUGAAAUGCGCAGAUAUCAGGAAGAACACCCGUGGCGGAAGGCGGCUCUCUGGGACGGUACUGACGCUGAGACGCGAAAGCGUGGGGAGCGAACAGG
rnacentral:rRNA from 1 species